CAGCAGCCGCGGGAAUACAGAGGGUGCGAGCGUUAAUCGGAUUUACUGGGCGUAAAGCGUGCGUAGGCGGCUUUUUAAGUCGGAUGUGAAAUCCCUGAGCUUAACUUAGGAAUUGCAUUCGAUACUGGGAAGCUAGAGUAUGGGAGAGGAUGGUAGAAUUCCAGGUGUAGCGGUAAAAUGCGUAGAGAUCUGGAGGAAUACCGAUGGCGAAGGCAGCCAUCUGGCCUAAUACUGACGCUGAGGUACGAAAGCAUGGGGAGCAAACAGGAUUAGAUACCCGCGUAGUCCCUGUCUCUUAUAC
rnacentral:rRNA from 1 species